AGAGUUUGAUCCUGGCUCAGGACGACGCUGGCGGCGUGCCUUACACAUGCAAGUCGAACGGGGUAAUCCUUCGGGGUUACUUAGUGGCGAACGGGUGAGUAACGCGUGAGAAACCUGCCUUUCAGUGGGGGACAACAGUUGGAAACGACUGCUAAUACCGCAUAAUGUUAUUUGGGGGCAUCCUCGAAUAACCAAAGAUUUAUUGCUGAAAGAUGGUCCCGCGUCUGAUUAGCUAGAUGGCGGGGUAACGGCCCACCAUGGCGACGAUCAGUAGCCGGUCUGAGAGGAUGAACGGCCACAUUGGGACUGAAAUACGGCCCAGACUCCUACGGGAGGCAGCAGUGGGGAAUAUUGGGCAAUGGGCGAAAGCCUGACCCAGCAACGCCGCGUGAAGGAAGAAGGCCUUCGGGUUGUAAACUUCUUUUACCAGGGACGAAUAAUGACGGUACCUGGAGAAAAAGCAACGGCUAACUACGUGCCAGCAGCCGCGGU
rnacentral:rRNA from 1 species